rnacentral:rRNA from 1 species
GAUGAACGCUGGCGGCGUGCUUAACACAUGCAAGUCGAACGGAAAGGCCCAAGCUUGCUUGGGUACUCGAGUGGCGAACGGGUGAGUAACACGUGGGUGAUCUGCCCUGCACUUCGGGAUAAGCCUGGGAAACUGGGUCUAAUACCGGAUAGGACCACAUUUUGGAUGGUGUGGUGGAAAGUUUUUCGGUGUGGGAUGAGCUCGCGGCCUAUCAGCUUGUUGGUGGGGUAAUGGCCUACCAAGGCGUCGACGGGUAGCCGGCCUGAGAGGGUGUACGGCCACAUUGGGACUGAGAUACGGCCCAGACGCCGACGGGAGGCAGCAGUGGGGAAUAUUGCACAAUGGGCGCAAGCCUGAUGCAGCGACGCCGCGGGGGGGAUGACGGCCUUCGGGUUGUAAACUCCUUUCGCUAGGGACGAAGCGUUAUGUGACGGUACCUGGAGAAGAAGCACCGGCUAACUACGUG